CAGCCGCCGCGGGAAUACGGAGGGAGCUAGCGUUGUUCGGAAUUACUGGGCGUAAAGCGCACGUAGGCGGUUAUUCAAGUCAGAGGUGAAAGCCCGGGGCUCAACCCCGGAACUGCCUUUGAAACUAGAUGACUGGAAUCUUGGAGAGGUCAGUGGAAUUCCGAGUGUAGAGGUGAAAUUCGUAGAUAUUCGGAAGAACACCAGUGGCGAAGGCGACUGACUGGACAAGUAUUGACGCUGAGGUGCGAAAGCGUGGGGAGCAAACAGGAUUAGAUACCCGAGUAGUCCCUGUCUCUUAUAC
rnacentral:rRNA from 1 species